CAUGUACUCAAAAAAGAAAGAGUAGUAAAAAGAUGGAAGAUCGAGCCCCAUAUGACUGGAACAAAAUCAUUUCCCAUAUUGCUCAUAAAGCGGAGAUUCAAAAUCACAGAGUAAGCUUAACACGAAGAAAGCUAUAUAUAAUAAACCGCACUCGUGAUAAUGGAAGUACUACGGAUGAUAAGGCUGCUCAAGUUGUGGAGGAAGUAGCUAGUGAUGUUCUUUUAGAGAGUUAGAAGAGUUCUAUUUUGCAUGUGGCCCGGAAAAGAUGCUGAUCC